AAGGGAGAUGAAAAUGGUGGUUAUUGCUAUUAAUCGCGACGGUCGGAGAUGGGUUUUGCCGCUAUUACUAUUAGCCACGGUGGUCAAGAUGACGAUCUUGCAAAGUGCCUCAGAAUACUCACACGGCAUGUGGUCAUAACACUAAUGGCUGCAGUCAUGGGAUGAUUGAUUUUUGGUUAUGAUAGUGGUAUAAUGGGUAUAUGAUUUUGCCUUUUAUAUAUUUCUUUUAAUUUUAUUUCAUUACAUAAUAUGAUUGCUUGAAUCUGUAAUAAUUUUUCAUGCUUUUAUUAAAAAAAAAAGGUUGAACCCCAACUUUAAGGACCUCACGACCCGCCCCUAGAGUUUUGUGAUGGAGGUAAAUCGCGGGACGUGC
rnacentral:lncRNA from 1 species